UAUCGUAGUAACCAUGGCGCCGUCAGC
rnacentral:sRNA from 1 species